rnacentral:rRNA from 1 species
GAUGAACGCUGGCGGCGUGCCUAAUACAUGCAAGUCGAGCGAACAGACGAGGAGCUUGCUCCUCUGACGUUAUCGGCGGACGGGUGAGUAACACGUGGAUAACCUACCUAUAAGACUGGGAUAACUUCGGGAAACCGGAGCUAAUACCGGAUAAUAUAUUGAACCGCAUGGUUCAAUAGUGAAAGACGGUUUUGCUUUCACUAAAAGAUGGAUCCGCGCCGCAUGCGCUAGUUGGUAAGGUAACUGCUUACCAAGGCAACGAUGCGUAGCCGACCUGAGAGGGUGAUCGGCCACACUGGAACUGAGACACGGUCCAGACUCCGACGGUAGGAAGCAGUCGGGAAUCUUCCGCAAUGGGCGAAGGCCUGACGGUGCAACGCCGCGUGAGUGAUGAAGGUCUUCGGAUCGUAAAACUCUGUUAUUAGGGAAGAACAAAUGUGUAAGUAACUAUGCUCGUCUUGACGGUACCUAAUCAGAAAGCCACGGCUAACUACGUG